AUCGCUAGUUGUCUCCUCUUUGGAAAAAUGGGAAAGAUGGUUGACGCGGGAGACCAGGCGGCAUCCGAUGGGGUUCCUUUGUCAUAAAACUCCGGAGGAAUGGAAAAGAUGGGUGAUGCAAGAAAAAGGCAAACAUUGCACCCAGGCAGGAGGAAGUGCUGCUUCGGGCACU